GUUGGUAUAGCUCAGUGGUAGAGUGAGUGCUUGGCAUGCAGGGGGUCCUGGGUUCAAUCCCUAGUGCCUCUG
rnacentral:tRNA from 1 species